AUGGCUGGCCUGAAUGUCUCCAUUGCUUUUUUUUCCCUGGUUGUUGGGGUGUGCCAGGUGCUCAGGCAGCUUUCCAAGAGGCUUCUGUCUCCUGGAGCAUACGGCUGCCUUGCCAGAGAAUUUGCUGGCUCGUUACAGUUGUGCAUGAGCUGCCUUGAGCUGAGGAUGCUGUUGGAGAUCGGUCUGUGGGGUGGUGGUUUUGGCCCAGAUGUGGUCCUGACUCUGCUCUUCCUCCUCUUCGUGGUUCAUGGUGCCUCUUUUGAUGGAGCAUCCGCCAACCCAACCAUCUCUCUCCAGGAGUUCCUGCUCCUUGAGUCCAACCUCACCGCAACUGCUGCCAAGCUGCUGGCCCAGGGUGUGGGCAUGGGGAUGGGAUGGGCUGUCACCAAGCUCUACUGGUCCUGGGAGCUGACGCAUUUCCACCUCAUCCAGAACCUGAUAGCAUCAGAGUGCAGCUCCUCCAUCCAUACCUCUCUGCACCAUGCUGCCUUUGUGGAAGGCACCUGCUCUUUCUUUUUCCACCUCGUCCUUCUCAAGUUGUGCCAGAGUCACCUGAUGUACCGGGUCCCUGCCCUGGCAGCGACUGUCACCUUCCUGACCUACACAGCUGUACCGUUCACGGGGGCCUUCUUUAACCCUGCUCUGGCUGCAGCCACCACCUUCCACUGCUCGGGGAGUAGCUUUUGGGACUACAUCCAGGUUUACUGGCUGGGUCCCCUUACAGGGAUGCUCGCUGCCCUUUUGCUGUACCAAGGCAACAUCCCACGACUCUUCCAGAAAAACCUCCUUUACAGCCAGAAGAGCAAAUACAAGAUACCCAAGGCAAGGAUGGUGGCGCAGGUAGAGGGUGACAAAGUGCAGCAGAAGAGGAAAGGGGAGAAGAGCAACUCCGAGCCUUGUGCCUGAGCUGUGGAUGGAAGCCAAGGAGGUCCCUGCAGCCCCUCUCCUGGGAGUGGGUUUCCUGGCGUGGAGGAUUUUGCUGCUCAUCCAGCCCAGCACCCAUCCUGCCCAUUCGGUCACUGCCACAGGCAUGGUGAGCUGGAGCCUUGGCUGUGGAGCCGGUAGUUAUCACCAGCCUAGGAGAAUGGAAAGCAAACACCCAGAGCCUGGCUUGUGUGCCUGCGGCCGGUGGCCCCUCCCUGGGGGAAGCGCCUGGGAUAGCGAGCCCGCAGCAGACCUUCCCACCGGUGCCCUGCUCUCCAGAACCUGCCCCAGGGAGCGACCAGCCUCCGCUCUAACACCAGGUUACAUGUUACUGGGAGGACUUGCUGGUCCAUCUGUAAGUGUCUGGAAGCAGAAACAAAAGUGGGCAUCCCAACUGUGAGGUGCCACGGGCUCUCUUCAGCAGAGGUGGAGAGAGGCAGCUCCCGUGGGUGACUUGCAUGCAUUUUUAGUUUGCUCCCAUUGCCUCUUGUCCUGUCACUGGGCACCACUGAGAAGAGCCUGGCUCCCUCCUCUUCAUUCCCUCCCAUCAGAUGUUUAUACACAUCUGUGAGGUCCCCCCAAGACCACACUUCUCUGGACUGGACAGCCCCAGCUCUCUCAGCCUCUCUUUGUACAAAGGAUGCUUCAGACCUUCAUCACCUUAAUGGCCUUGCAUUGGACUGGCUCCAACAAGGGCAUCUCUCUCUUGUACUGGGGAGCCCAGAGCUGGACACAGCACUGCAGAUGCGGCCUCACCAGUACUGAGCAGAGUGGGAAAGGAGGCUGCUGGAGCUCUGGAAGCUAUGUUUGACCUGGGGAUGGCCAAAGACAUCAUUAGGACUCUCCAUGGCCAGUGGGAGUCCUGUGCAACUGCAUCUGACCU